UACAGAGGGGGCAAGCGUUGUUCGGAAUUACUGGGCGUAAAGGGCGCGUAGGCGGCCUGUUAAGUCGAACGUGAAAUCCCCGGGCUCAACCCGGGAACUGCGUCCGAUACUGGCAGGCUUGAAUUCGGAGAGGGAUGCGGAAUUCCAGGUGUAGCGGUGAAAUGCGUAGAUAUCGUAAGGAAGACCAGUGGCGAAGGCGG
rnacentral:rRNA from 1 species